rnacentral:sRNA from 1 species
AGGUACUGGCGGACACUCCGGUUCUUCCGCGACCACCUGACGACUGCUCGCUACGUUUGUUAGCC